rnacentral:rRNA from 1 species
CAGACGUGCGCGGUGCGAUUCAGCCUUGGUUCGCCAGGGUGUGAUUAUGUGGAGUGUGGGGAGCUAAACACCUUCAUGCCUUGCAUAUUCGUACUCUGGGGUGUACUUGGACGUGCGGUAGGUUAACAUCAAUUUCGGACGUCAUAAAAUGGCUGGAGGAAUGUAGCUUCGGUCUCGUACUGAAGUGUUAUAGCCUUUGGUAGAUGUGAUGACCGGGAUUGAGGAUUGCAACGGAUACCCUUCGGGCUACCCGCCUGAUCUCUGAAAGUUGCUCUGGUGCCGAAAGCUUGCUUACGGUCAUCAAAGUUGACGUUCAAUAGGUUAGAACGGGUUAAA